GGAAGGAUCAUUAACAAAUCUCAAAACAGUUUUGCCCAUGACGAGCCUGUUGAUACGAAAGUGUCUUUAGUUCGCUGUGGGUAUCACACAUACACAUAUUGAUUGACACAUUUCAGAAGACCAAGAACUUUAAUGUUAACAACUUUUAACAAUGGAUCUCUUGGCUCUUGCAACGAUGAAGAACGCAGCAAACUGCGAAACGUAAUGUGACCUGCAAUCUUCGUGAAUCAUCCAAUCUUUGAACGCAAUUUGCACCUCAUCACUUUUGUGACAAGGUAUACUUGUUUGAGUAUCACAAAAAACCUCACCCUCCCUUUUGGGUAUGUGGACUUGAGAGUUCUACCUUCCAGUAGUCUCUUUAAAAUCAGGUUUUGAAGUCUCAGCAUGAGAUGACUAUUGGGAUAACAUCCUAACAAUAGUUGUUGCUUUGACUUGAACUCUUUAAUGGGUACAAAACCACCUGCUUGUUAUAUCGUAAGGUAUAAUAAGCACCGCUUUGAAGUUGAUCUCAAAUCAAGUAGGGAUACCCGCUGAACUUAAGCAUAUCAGUAAGCGGAGGAAAAGAAACUAACAAGGAUUCCCCUAGUAACGGCGAGUGAAGCGGGAAGAGCUCAAAUUUAAAAUCUGGUGCUCGUAUGAGUACCCGAGUUGUAUUUGAAAGGGUCAUCUUUUGUAACCGAAUGUGGUCAAAGUUUUCUGGAAAGGAACAACAUAGAGGGUGACAUUCCCGUCUGGGCCAUGUUUUGGAAGCAGUAAAAAGAUGUCCCAAAGAGUCGGAUUGUUUGGGAAUGCAGUCCAAAAUGGGUGGUACAUUUCAUCUAAGGCUAAAUAUUGGCAAGAGACCGAUAGCGAACAAGUACCGUGAGGGAAAGAUGAAAAGAACUUUGAAAAGAGAGUUAAAUAGUACGUGAAAUUGUUAAAAGGGAAACGAUUGAGACCAGUGAUGCUGUGAUUCUGAAGCUUUGCCCUUCGGGGUGGGGUGGUUGGGUCAUUUGCAAGUCGACGCUCCUUUGGUUUUUUGGAUAAGACUUUUGGAAAGGUGGCUCCGUCUUCGGGCGGCUGCUUUAUAGUCCAAUUGGGAUACAGAAAACUGGAGGAGACUCGUCCCGAAAGGGGAAAGAAUUAUUGUAUGUAACUAGCAGCCUAAGGGCUCGUUAGAAGCUUGAUAAUUCCUGUCGACGAAAUGGUCUUAAACGACCCGUCUUGAAACACGGACCAAGGAGUCUAACAUCUAUGCGAGUAUUUGAGUGGCAAACUCGAAUGCGUAAAGAAACUGAACGCGUGGGACUGGCAUUCCUACGGGAAAGCCAUGCACCAUGGGCCGGUUCUUGUCUUUGACUUGGAUUGCGCUAGAGCAUAUCUGUUGGGACCCGAAAGAUGGUGAACUAUGCCUGAAUAGGGUGAAGCCAGUGGAAACUCUGGUGGAGGCUCGUAGACAUUCUGACGUGCAAAUCGAUGUUCAAAUUUGGGUAUAGGGGCGAAAGACUAAUCGAACCAUCUAGUAGCUGGUUCCCUC
rnacentral:misc_RNA from 1 species